CCUACGGGAGGCAGCAGUGGGGAAUUUUCCGCAAUGGGCGAAAGCCUGACGGAGCAACGCCGCGUGAGGGAUGAAGGCCUCUGGGCUGUAAACCUCUUUUAUCAAGGAAGAAGAUCUGACGGUACUUGAUGAAUAAGCCACGGCUAAUUCCGUGCCAGCAGCCGCGGUAAUACGGGAGUGGCAAGCGUUAUCCGGAAUUAUUGGGCGUAAAGCGUCCGCAGGCGGUCUUGUAAGUCUGUCGUUAAAGCGUGGAGCUUAACUCCAUUUCGGCGGUGGAAACUACAAGACUAGAGUGUGGUAGGGGCAGAGGGAAUUCCCGGUGUAGCGGUGAAAUGCGUAGAUAUCGGGAAGAACACCAGUGGCGAAGGCGCUCUGCUGGGCCAUAACUGACGCUCAUGGACGAAAGCUAGGGGAGCGAAAGGGAUUAGAUACCCCUGUAGUCCUAGCCGUAAACGAUGAACACUAGGUGUCGGGGAAUCGACCCCUCGGUGUCGUAGCUAACGCGUUAAGUGUUCCGCCUGGGGAGUACGCACGCAAGUGUGAAACUUAAGGAAUUGACGG
rnacentral:rRNA from 1 species